rnacentral:rRNA from 1 species
GCGCUGACGAGUGGCGGACGGGUGAGUAACGCGUAGGAAUCUGCCUCAUAGUGGGGGACAACGUGGGGAAACUCACGCUAAUACCGCAUACGCCCUACGGGGGAAAGCGGGGGCUCGUAAGACCUCGCGCUAUGAGAUGAGCCUGCGUUAGAUUAGCUAGUUGGUAGGGUAAAGGCCUACCAAGGCGACGAUCUAUAGCUGGUCUGAGAGGACGAUCAGCCACACUGGGACUGAGACACGGCCCAGACUCC